CCUACGGGAGGCAGCAGUGGGGAAUUUUGGACAAUGGGCGCAAGCCUGAUCCAGCAAUGCCGCGUGAGUGAAGAAGGCCUUCGGGUUGUAAAGCUCUUUUGUCAGGGAAGAAAAGGGUCUGGCUAAUAUCUAGGCCUCAUGACGGUACCUGAAGAAUAAGCACCGGCUAACUACGUGCCAGCAGCCGCGGUAAUACGUAGGGUGCAAGCGUUAAUCGGAAUUACUGGGCGUAAAGCGUGCGCAGGCGGUUUUGUAAGACUGUCGUGAAAUCCCCGGGCUCAACCUGGGAAUGGCGAUGGUGACUGCAAGGCUAGAGUUUGGCAGAGGGGGGUAGAAUUCCACGUGUAGCAGUGAAAUGCGUAGAUAUGUGGAGGAACACCGAUGGCGAAGGCAGCCCCCUGGGUCAAAACUGACGCUCAUGCACGAAAGCGUGGGGAGCAAACAGGAUUAGAUACCCUGGUAGUCCACGCCCUAAACGAUGUCUACUAGUUGUCGGGUCUUAAUUGACUUGGUAACGCAGCUAACGCGUGAAGUAGACCGCCUGGGGAGUACGGUCGCAAGAUUAAAACUCAAAGGAUUAGACGGCUGAGACGAGACGACGACGACGACGAGGGAGGAGG
rnacentral:rRNA from 1 species